rnacentral:misc_RNA from 1 species
AGCAGCCGCGGUAAUUCCAGCUCCAAUAGCGUAUAUUAAAGUUGUUGCAGUUAAAAGCUCGUAGUUGAAUUUCGGGGUUAGUAGGUUGGUCAUGCCUCUGGUAUGUACUGGUCUCACUGAUUCCUCCUUCCUGAUGAACCGUAAUGCCAUUAAUUUGGUGUUGCGGGGAAUUUGGACUGUUACUUUAGAAAAAUUGAGUGUUUAAAGCAAGCUAACGCUUGAAUACAUUAGCAUAGGAAUAAUGAA